rnacentral:rRNA from 1 species
CCUACGGGUGGCAGCAGUGGGGAAUAUUGGACAAUGGGCGAAAGCCUGAUCCAGCCAUGCCGCGUGUGUGAAGAAGGCCUUCGGGUUGUAAAGCACUUUCAGUGGGGAAGAAAGCCUUGGGGCUAAUACCCUCGAGGAAGGACAUCACCCACAGAAGAAGCACCGGCUAACUCCGUGCCAGCAGCCGCGGUAAUACGGAGGGUGCGAGCGUUAAUCGGAAUUACUGGGCGUAAAGCGCGCGUAGGCGGUCUGAUAAGCCGGUUGUGAAAGCCCCGGGCUCAACCUGGGAACGGCAUCCGGAACUGUCAGGCUAGAGUGCAGGAGAGGAAGGUAGAAUUCCCGGUGUAGCGGUGAAAUGCGUAGAGAUCGGGAGGAAUACCAGUGGCGAAGGCGGCCUUCUGGACUGACACUGACGCUGAGGUGCGAAAGCGUGGGUAGCAAACAGUAUUAGAUACCCGUGUAGUC